GCUCGAAAGUGUGGGUAUCAAACAGGAUUAGAUACCCUGGUAGUCCACACGGUAAACGAUGAAUACUCGCUGUUUGCGAUAUACGGCAAGCGGCCAAGCGAAAGCGUUAAGUAUUCCACCUGGGGAGUACGCCGGCAACGGUGAAACUCAAAGGAAUUGACGGGGGCCCGCACAAGCGGAGGAACAUGUGGUUUAAUUCGAUGAUACGCGAGGAACCUUACCCGGGCUUGAAUUGCACUCGAAUGAUGUGGAGACAUGUCAGCCGCAAGGCAGUUGUGAAGGUGCUGCAUGGUUGUCGUCAGCUCGUGCCGUGAGGUGUCGGCUUAAGUGCCAUAACGAGCGCAACCCUUGUUGUCAGUUACUAACAGGUGAUGCUGAGGACUCUGACAAGACUGCCAUCGUAAGAUGUGAGGAAGGUGGGGAUGACGUCAAAUCAGCACGGCCCUUACGUCCGGGGCUACACACGUGUUACAAUGGGGGGUACAGAGGGCCGCUACCACGCGAGUGGAUGCCAAUCCCUAAAACCCCUCUCAGUUCGGACUGGAGUCUGCAACCCGACUCCACGAAGCUGGAUUCGCUAGUAAUCGCGCAUCAGCCACGGCGCGGUGAAUACGUUCCCGGGCCUUGUACACACCGCCCGUCAAGCCAUGGGAGCCGGGGGUACCUGAAGUGCGUAACCGCGAGGAGCGCCCUAGGGUAAAACUGGUGACUGGGGCUAAGUCGUAACAAGGUAGCCGUACCGGAAGGUGCGGCUG
rnacentral:rRNA from 1 species